rnacentral:misc_RNA from 1 species
AGCGCAUAGAGAAAAUAUUGGUUGCGAACCGAGGUGAAAUUGCUUGUAGGAUCAUGAGGACUGCGAAGCGGCUAGGUAUUCGAACCGUAGCCGUUUACAGUGACGCUGACAGAAACUNUUCAUGUUAAAUCAGCUGACGAGGCUGUUCAUAUAGGUCCACCUCCGGCGAGGUUGAGUUAUUUGAAUGGUUCGUCAAUUGUUGAGGCUGCCAUUCGUACUGGUGCUCAGGCUAUCCACCCAGGAUAUGGUUUCUUAUCAGAGAGUGCAGACUUUGCCAAACUUUGUGAAGAUAUG